GGGCCCUCAGUGGGCCAAACAAUUCCAGAAAACUGAGACUUACCGGCAGCGAAGCUCUCGGGUACGGCAGCCCGCGAGUUGCAAUUUGGUAUUUUGCUCCGGUCAACUUGUAGAGAAAAGAACAGUGAUCACAGUGGUAUAAAAAUUACAUCGAACGGGAAUCGGGAAGGGCCUCAUCGGAGGCAAAAAUUGAGAAAAUCUGUGGCGGCACCGCUGGACUUCGACGGUAUUUUUCGACCAAUCGGCCUGUGGUUUGGCUCCAAUUUGGCCACAGGGAGGUUCAACAUCGAAAAACAAGCC
rnacentral:lncRNA from 1 species